GACGAACGCUGGCGGCGUGCCUAAUGCAUGCAAGUCGCACGCGGCACCUUCGGGUGCUGAGUGGCGAACGGCUGAGGAACACGUGGGGACCUGUGCGGGAGUGGGGGACAACACCGCGAAAGCGGUGCUAAUCCCGCAUACGCUCUGAGGAGGAAAGCCGAAAGGCGCUCCCGGGUGGCCCUGCGGCCCAUCAGGUCGUUGGUGGGGUAACGGCCUACCAAGCCAAUGACGGGUCGCUGGUCUGUGAGGACGACCAGCCAGACUGGGACUGGGACACGGCCCAGACUCCUACGGGAGGCAGCAGCAAGGAAUUUUCGGCAAUGGGCGCAAGCCUGACCGAGCAACGCCGCGUGCAGGAUGACGGCCUUCGGGUUGUAAACUGCUUUUGCUAGGGAUGAUACGGACAGUACCUGGCGAAUAAGCCCCGGCUAACUCUGUGCCAGCCGCCGCAGUAAAAC
rnacentral:rRNA from 1 species